ACUCUUCCUCACCCAAACAACAGAAAUAAUAACAUCCUGGCAAGGGAAUCAAUAAUAGAAACAAUAAUAUUCCGGCAAGGGAAUCAAUAAUAGAAACAAUAACAACCCAGCAAGGGAAUCAACAAUAGAAAUAAUAACACCCCUACAAGGAAAUCAACAAUAACCAAUCUUGUUUCAACAGUUAGCUUUGCAAUAUAGAUCUCAACUUGAGUCAAUACUCAACAAUGGUCAAUUACCAAGAGAAUAUCAUAAGACUUGUUCAACAUGAAGGAUCGUCAAUUUAAGCAAAAAUAGUACAUAAUAAGGAUUACGGAAAGAUGAUGAAGCACAAUAACCUUACUAAAAUAAUAAGUCAUAAAUAGCACAUGAUAACUACACGAUCACCAUAACAGCGGAACUCACAACAUAUUUGCGCGAAGUCACAAAGGAACUCACAGUCAAGAAGUAUCAAAUAAUAAAAAAGGAAAUCACUUUAAUUAAGACAAAUAAGGGUCAAGUAACAAGUAGAGUUAGAGGAAUGCAAAAAGCAUCACAUGGGCAUAUAAGGGUAAUUUGAGAAAUUAGGAAACUCGAUCAUAGCAGAAUACUUGUUACAUAAUGUACAUAAGGACCAAAGAAUCCUAAAUGUAAAUUUCCCACAAAUAAGUCCGAGCACACACUCGUCACCUCACAUGCACG
rnacentral:lncRNA from 1 species